rnacentral:tRNA from 1 species
GGACGUGUGCCCGAAUGACUUAAGGGUUACCUUGAUGGGGUAAACAAUAGAGGUUAAAUUCCUCUCACUUCCU